AUUAUUAGAAGUUUUUUUUUUUUUAAUUACUUCAUGUUAUGUGGAUGCAAGUGUUCCUUCAAAAAAAAAGACCAUUAUGUCCUAACACAAACCUGUAGGAUGGCAGAAUGUCAGUCAAGAUUAUUGUUGCAUUUAUCAGACAUACCUCAGCCAGGCUGUCUUCCAUGCAACUACCAUGGCCUAACAUAUCUGUUGUUUUUUUAAACGAUCAAUAAAUAAUUGACUGUGUGCAGUCCCUAACCCACUUAAUAAACAUAUAGAUCUAUUUUAUAUUUGUAUGGACAGUAAAUUUAUUUUUUUAAAAAUAAUUUUAGGCUAUUUGUAUAAAAAAUUAUUAAUUCUUCUGACACCAAAAAGUUAUUAAGUUAGAAUACGAAAUACUCCAGGGAACUAAUUGAGAAAGGUAAUUUUCCUUUUUGAUUCACUCUCCCCAAAAAAUUAUCAGAAUUGUGAUGAAUUGAAAAAAUUUUAUUAAUUGAAUAGUCAAUUUGAGAAAAUGUAUUCAUUACUUAAAGCUGAACCUACAAUCACAGUAAUUAGUUGUAGAUCUAAGACAUUCACACACAAAAAAAAGUCAGCCAUUUAGAUACAGACCAGGUUUUAACUUAACUUUACAGUGUACUCAGAUCUAAUAUUAAAUAUAAUCCUAACAAGCAAUACUGAUCAAAAUCUAUGUUAGCGAGUGCUUCACUCCCACCUAUCCUGUUGAACUGUUGGGGCACCAUACAAAGGAGUUCUUAACAGGUUCAAAUCCUCUUUCAAAAGCCCUGGACAACCCAGUGGUUGUUUGCAAUGUAUGCAAGUCAUCAGACAGGUCAAGACCUUGUACUUCCCAGACUUGUCAAAAACCAGAAAUCAAC